ACAGAGAUGGCUAGCGUUGUUCGGAUUCAUUGGGUGUAAAGGGUGCGUAGGCGGCCCAGAAAGUCAGAUGUGAAAGCCCACAGCUCAACUGUGGAAUUGCAUUUGAAACUUCUAGGCUGGAGUGUGGGAGAGGUGAAGGGAAUUCCCGGGGUAAGGGGGGAAACCGCGGAGAUCGGGAGGGACACCAGGGGGGAAGGGGGUUCACUGGGCCAGAACUGGCGAGUAGGGCACGAAAGCUUGGGGAGCAAACGG
rnacentral:rRNA from 1 species